CAGUAGCCGCAGGAAUACGGAGGGGGCUAGCGUUGUUCGGAAUUACUGGGCGUAAAGCGCACGUAGGCGGCUAUGUAAGUUAGAGGUGAAAGCCUGGAGCUCAACUCCAGAAUUGCCUUUAAGACUGCAUGGCUAGCAGGUGAGAGAGGUGAGUGGAAUUCCGAGUGUAGAGGUGAAAUUCGUAGAUAUUCGGAAGAACACCAGUGGCGAAGGCGGCUCACUGGCUCAUACUGGACGCUGAGGUGCGAAAGCGUGGGGAGCAAACAGGAUUAGAGACCCCUGUAGUCCCUGUCUCUUAUAC
rnacentral:rRNA from 1 species